CCUACGGGAGGCAGCAGUGGGGAAUAUUGCACAAUGGGGGAAACCCUGAUGCAGCGACGCCGCGUGAGUGAAGAAGUAAUUCGUUAUGUAAAGCUCUAUCAGCAGGGAAGAAAAUGACGGUACCUGAGUAAGAAGCCCCGGCUAACUACGUGCCAGCAGCCGCGGUAAUACGUAGGGGGCCAGCGUUCUCCGGAUUUACUGGGUGUAAAGGGAACGUAGACGGCAGUGCAAGUCUGGAGUGAAAGGCUGGGGCUCAACCCCCGGACUGCUCUGGAAACUGUACGGCUGGAGUGCAGGAGAGGUAAGUGGAAUUCCUAGUGUAGCGGUGAAAUGCGUAGAUAUUAGGAGGAACACCAGUGGCGAAGGCGGCUUACUGGACUGUAACUGACGUUGAGGCUCGAAAGCGUGGGGAGCAAACAGGAUUAGAUACCCCUGUAGUC
rnacentral:rRNA from 1 species